rnacentral:rRNA from 1 species
GAGUAACACGUGACCAACCUACCCUCGAGUGGGGAAUAACUCCGGGAAACCGGAGCUAAUACCGCAUAACAUCGCAAGAUCAAAGCCGCAAGGCGCUUGAGGAGGGGGUCGCGGCUGAUUAGCUAGUUGGUAGGGUAACGGCCUACCAAGGCGAAGAUCGGUAGCCGGCCUGAGAGGGCGCACGGCCACACUGGAACUGAAACACGGUCCAGACUCCUACGGGAGGCAGCAGUGGGGAAUUUUGCGCAAUGGGGGAAACCCUGACGCAGCAACGCCGCGUGGAGGAUGAAGUCCCUUGGGACGUAAACUCCUUUCGACCGGGACGAUACUGACGGUACCGGAAGAAGAAGCACCGGCUAACUCUGUGCCAGCAGCCGCGGUAAUACAGAGGGUGCGAGCGUUGUUCGGAAUUAUUGGGCGUAAGGGCGCGUAGGCGGCGCGGUAAGUCACCUGUGAAAUCUCCUGGCUCAACUGGGAGCUUGCAGGCGAAACUGCCGUGCUGGAGUGUGGGAGAGGUGCGUGGAAUUCCCGGUGUAGCGGUGAAAUGC